rnacentral:rRNA from 1 species
GACGAACGCUGGCGGCGUGCUUAACACAUGCAAGUCGAACGAAGUGGCGAACGGGUGAGUAACGCGUAAUCAACCUGCACUUCAGAGGGGGACAACAGGUGGAAACGACUGCUAAUACCGCAUAAUGAAGGAGGGGAUUGGUGUUGAUUAGCUAGUUGGAGGGGUAACGGCCCACCAAGGCGAUGAUCAGUAGCCGGGCUGAGAGGAUGACCGGCCACAUUGGGACUGCGACACGGCCCAGACUCCUACGGGAGGCAGCAGUGGGGAAUCUUCCGCAAUGGACGAAAGUCUGACGGAGCAACGCCGCGUGAGUGACGACGGCCUUCGGGUUGUAAAGCUCUGUUAAUCGGGACGCGGUACCGGAAUAGAAAGCCACGGCUAACUACGUGCCAGCAGCCGCGGUAAUUC